ACCAACGUGUCGGAGUGGUUAACGAGUCAGACUUGAAAUCUGAUGCCUUCGGGCGCGCAAGUUCGAAUCUUGUCGUUGGUG
rnacentral:tRNA from 1 species